AUUGAACGCUGGCGGCAGGCCUAACACAUGCAAGUCGAACGAGUGGCGCACGGGUGAGUAAUGUCUCGGAAACUGCCUGAUGGCGGGGGAUAACUACUGGAAACGGUAGCUAAUACAGCAUACCAUCAGAUGUGCCACGCUGGGCUGAGCUAGUGGGUGGGGUAACGGCUGACCAAGGAGACGAGCCCUAGAUGGUCUGAGAGGAUGACCAGCCACACUGGAACUGAGACACGGUCCAGACUCCUACGGGAGGCAGCAGUGGGGAAUAUUGCACAAUGGGGGCAAGCCUGAUGCAGCCAUGCCGCGUGUAUGAAGAAGGCCUUCGGGUUGUAAAGUACUUUCAGCGGGGAGGCGUUACCCGCAGAAGAAGCACCGGCUAACUCCGUGCCAGCAGCCGCGGUAAUAC
rnacentral:rRNA from 1 species